CUUUAGAGGAAGUAAAAGUCGUAACAAGGUUUCCGUAGGUGAACCUGCGGAAGGAUCAUUAUCGAAUGAAUGUAGAGUCGGUUGUAGCUGGCCCCCGGGCAUGUGCACGCCUUCUCUUUCAUCCACACACACCUGUGCACCUGUGAGACGGAGGCUUUUUUCCUCGCGAGGGGAAGGGUUUCCGUCUGUUCAACUAUACAAACUCAUAUAUAUAAAUUCGAAUGUAAACGAUGUAAACGCAUCAUUAAACUAAGUUUCAACAACGGAUCUCUUGGCUCUCGCAUCGAUGAAGAACGCAGCGAAAUGCGAUAAGUAAUGUGAAUUGCAGAAUUCAGUGAAUCAUCGAAUCUUUGAACGCACCUUGCGCUCCUUGGUAUUCCUUGGAGCAUGCCUGUUUGAGUAUCAUGAAAUUCUCAAAACAAGUCUUUCGUUCAUUCGGCUGACUUUGUUUUGGACUUGGAGGUCUUGCAGAUUCACGUCUGCUCCUCUCAAAAGCAAUUAGCUGGAUCUCGGAGCUCGGUUCCACUCGGCGUGAUAAAUAUCACUCGCUGAGGACACCCACCCAGGUGGCCGGGUUUGCGGAUUGAGCCGCUUCUAAUCGUCCAUUUGCUUGGACAACAACACUUUAUGAUCUGAUCUCAAAUCAGGUAGGACUACCCGCUGAACUUAAGCAUAUCA
rnacentral:rRNA from 1 species